GGGAGGCAGCAGUAGGGAAUCUUCCACAAUGGGCGAAAGCCUGAUGGAGCAACGCCGCGUGAGUGAUGAAGGCCUUCGGGUUGUAAAACUCUGUCAUUCGGGACGAACCGGAGUCUGAGGAAAUGCAGACUCUCUGACGGUACCGGAGGAGGAAGCCCCGGCUAACUACGUGCCAGCAGCCGCGGUAAUACGUAGGGGGCAAGCGUUGUCCGGAUUCACUGGGCGUAAAGCGCGCGCAGGCGGUGAUGUAAGUCUGAGGUGAAAACCCGAAGCUCAACUUCGGGACUGCCUUGGAUACUGCGUCACUUGAGGAUAGGAGAGGCAAGGGGAAUUCCACGUGUAGCGGUGAAAUGCGUAGAGAUGUGGAGGAACACCUGUGGCGAAGGCGCCUUGCUGGCCUAUUUCUGACGCUGAGGCGCGAAAGCGUGGGGAGCAAACAGGAUUAGAUACCCUGGUAGUCCACGCUGUAAACGAUGAGUGCUAGGUGUAGGUGGGCUCAUACCCAUCUGUGCCGAAGCUA
rnacentral:rRNA from 1 species